GAUGAAGAACGUAGCGAAAUGCGAUACUUGGUGUGAAUUGCAGAAUCCCGUCAACCAUCGAGUCUUUGAACGCAAGUUGCGCCCGAAGCCAUUAGGCCGAGGGCACGCCUGCCUGGGCGUCACACGUCGUUGCCCCCCCAUCUACUCCUUCGGGAUUGCGGGGGGCGGAUGAUGGCCUCUCGUGCGCCUCGUCGCGCGGUUGGCCUAAAUGCCAAGUCCUCGGCGACGCACGCCACGACAAUCGGUGGUUGCGAAACCUCGGUUGCCUGUCGUGUGCGGUCGUCGCGCAUCGAGGGCUCGAAAAAAUUGCCGGGCUUCGGCUCGACUUUCAACGCGACCCCAGGUCAGGCGGGGUUACCCGCUGAAUUUAAGCAUAUCAAUAAGCGGAGGA
rnacentral:misc_RNA from 1 species